GCUGCCAGCAUCAUCAGUGGGAAGAGCAAGCUUCUUCUGCUGGAAAGCCCUGACACUGUGGAAAUCUACAGUCUUAAUAAACCAGUGGCGCACACAGGGGUAGGAGGGACGGGACAUGUCUACCUCCCUGCCAUCACAGCCAAGGCCUCCAGUCUAGCUUCAGUCAGAGGCUCUCUGAGCGCUUCCUGCCCUUAUCUGUACAGUGAACGCAGAGGAUCCUUCUCUUCCAUAGGCUCACAGAGAACUGCAGACUAUAACAAGAACAAACAGAGUAACCUGAAGGCAUUGAAGGAGGCCAAGCGAUCCAAUGUCACCGUGACGAUGACCUACCUGGG